GUAGAAAUGAACACACUUUAUAUAUCUAAGUUAGGGUAUCUGUACCUUGGAACUAUUGACAUUUCAGACCAGAUAAUUCUCUGUUGUGAGGGGCUGUCCUGUGUAUUGUAAAAUGUUUGACACCAUUUCUGACCUCUACCUACUAAAAGCCAAUAGUAUCAUUGCCCCCACCCCUGCUCACCAGUUGUAAGAAGUGCAUUUUCUCCAGACAUUGCCACAUGUCUCCUGAAAAGGGGUGUGUGUGUGCAGAUCACCCCUGAUCUAAACAUAAAAAAUUGUUCCUUAGCAUUACUUUAGAUGACACUGUAAGCAGACAGUAGGUUUUCUUAGGAGACGAAAGCAAGUGGGAAUAGUAUAUUGAUCAGAGGUUUCUUUUUCCCUAGGGAUAGGAGAAAGAAAAAGAAAACCACUACCUUAUCAGCUUGAAAGUGAAAAUACAAAGCUAGCCCAAAUAUUGCACUGGAGACCUGGAUUCACACUGAGAUAAUACCAUGUAUAAUAUACCACCAAAGAUGCAAAUAGGGAAUGACAACUCUUAGAUCUUACUCAGACUGUGACAGCUAUUGGAUCUUAUUCUUACAUCAUGGAAAUUGGGUAGUGGUGGCUCUGAAUACUUGAUGAAAAAAGAUAGGUUUUUAAAAUCUUCCAUCUUGCUCACAUCUUAGAUGUAGGCACAUCCUAGAGAUUCUUGAAUACAAAAGCAGUUUGGAGGGGAAGAAAAAAACAUUUUCAGUGGUGCCAGGAUAUUAUAAACAAUGUGUUUACUAUAAACUUGUUGAUAAUGUUUUGUCAACAGACGUAUGAUACUGGAUGCUCUGAGAGAAGUAAAAAUAUAAGACACAGCUCACGAUUUGGUAGGCAACACAAGGAAAAGGUGGUAGAAAUAGAAAUCAUAACUAAAUUUGUAGAUGAAAGCAAUAAUACUUCUACAGCAUAAGUAUUAAUUGCCAUUGGAACCCAAAGAAAUAUAAGUAUGAGCUCAGGCUGACAGGAUAGGAGGUCAGCCUUACUUGGAGAGGGAGUUUUGAGGCUCCAGAAGAACACGGGACACUGUGAUGCCCUUUGUCUCAAGCAUCUGGAGGUUGCUUAUGAUCCUAAUUAGCUGCAUUUGGAAAUUGGUGAGACAGCAUACACUUGACAUCAAGUGUCAACUCUGUGGUACUUAUUCCAGUGGCUUGGACUCUUCAAUACAGAGGUGAUCCCAUUUGUAAAACCUUUUUUCUCCCCUCAUGUAAUUCCUAAGGUUGAUGUCCUUGGAGGUAUCUUCCCAACUCAAAACUACCCAUUCUCUAGAAACAUUUAUCUCUACUCAAAAAAGGAGAAAGUCCUAUGGGUAUUCUCCUGGUAGCCAUGUUUGCUUUCUGAGAUGAGAAUUUUUACCUCAGGCCCUAGCUGAUUGGGUCCAGAUGGACACUUGAUUCCAGUUGGAUCUGAUUCUGGGCUGAGAAUUUGAUCGUAGGACUAAGAGGCACACCAGUCUUUUCAUGUGCCUGGAACUCUGCCUAUUAAUCUGGGAGGUGAUAGAGCUACCUUUUCCUCAGGAAGCAUGGAGAUGCCAUAAUAAGGUGGUGAUUUGCCUCCUCUGACUGAGACCCUGGGGGUACUGGUCACUGAUGCCCCUAGACCAGGUUAUCCCCUAGCCAUCCUGAGAAGGAUGAGGUUUGCUUGGGAGUCUUCUCAGAGCCCAAGCUAUCCUCUUUCCAUUGGCUCUUCCUCAUCACAAGGCCCCAAGACUCCUACCCUUCUAUGGCACAGCCGACAUCCCCUCACCACUGACCUUCACAGGAGUGUUCUGUGUAAAUCUCAAUACCCACAUUUCAGGGCUAUGCACAACAUUCAUGUCCAGGGAGCAGCUUUCUGCAGGCUGUGAUGUUGACAAUGGUCCCUUGACACCAGUUACUCAGAGCCUUCAGAACAGUGAUGGCUCAAUGUGUUAAUUGGCUUCAUUCAGGACUGUUCACUGCCUUCAAGGUUUCCAACCACAGACUCCUGUGAUGUUUUCUAGAUGCCAUGAAUUCACUUAAGAGUAAUCUGGCAAGAGAACCUGACUCACAUACUAUGGACAGGCUAUGCCGAGGUCCCAGAAGCUUUGAGAGCUGGAGUGGAAAUCCUGGCUUGGAACUGGGACUAAGAGAGCCCUAGGCAGCUAGGCAGCAGCAGACACAGGCUAAUAAUGCCUCUCUUCCCUGGAGCCUCCUCUUCACGAUGCGGUCUCAGGAAGGUCAGUGGGAUUGAAUGCACAAGGGUUGGAAGAGGAGGAGGGAUCACUGGGCAUCGAUCCCCCAGGUCUUUUUAGUGGGAAGUGGCAUUCUCAACCCACUGUCCUGCCUAGCCUGUGCACAGUGGGGAGAGAGAUUCCAUGUAGGGAAAUGGGGUACUACUAGCAAAGGGACUGAAGGAUUCAAGGUAAACAUUCACUCUGGAUCCUUGACAUCACUAAAAGUGCACAUAAAAAUUUAGAUAUAGUUUUAGAUCCUCUGAAGUUUAUCCACAGAACCCUGGUUAACAACCUUUCAUACAAAGGAAUUUGCUCAUUCCUAUGAUUUCUGACAUGAGUACUCAGGAAAUGGAAUGUCUGUGGGCUAGGAUGUUGAGAAGAUGUUGGUUGUAGACCAAGUGAUGAGCAGAAACCUCUGCAGAUUGGGAAGCUGUGUGGGAGACAUCCUCCUGUGCCGCUUUGGCAUACAUGAGGGAGAAAGUCCAGCUCUGGGGAAAAUACUAGGCCGGGGGAGGUCCCUUUGUUGUCCCUCCACCAUCCCCAUCACAGAGACACCUCUGGGAUCUGAUCACACUAAGAUUGAUGUUCAGCAUAGACAAGACUCAAAGAAAAAAAGCAGAGUAAAGCCUGUUAAGAGGGGGAAAUUCUCCAGGGCAGAGGAUCGCUAAGUUAAUUAUGCAGAUGUGAAAAUUCAAAGGAAGAAUAAUUAGACAGGCUGUUAAAGCUAAAAAAAAAAA
rnacentral:lncRNA from 1 species